UACAGAGGUCCCGAGCGUUGUUCGGAUUCACUGGGCGUAAAGGGUGCGUAGGUGGUGAGGUAAGUCGGAUGUGAAAUCUCGGAGCUUAACUCCGAAACGGCAUUGGAAACUACCUUGCUUGAGGAUUGGAAGGGGGACUGGAAUACUUGGUGUAGCAGUGAAAUGCGUAGAUAUCAAGUGGAACACCAGUGGCGAAGGCGAGUCCCUGGACAAUACCUGACACUGAGGCACGAAAGCUAGGGGAGCAAAC
rnacentral:rRNA from 1 species